GAGCCCGCAAAAAAAGAGGUACGGGACAGAGAGGGUGGGUUCGAGGGGAGAGGCGGCGGCGCCGUCGAGGCCGUCCGCUUGCGCGCGAGUGCGGCACGCUCUAGUCAUGGCAUCGCCGUCCGCUUGUCGGCUGUCGCCACUAGUUGUCGGCGGGUUCGCGCCUUCCCUACUCAACCACGCUCCCUUCUCCGCCUUCGAGCUCAUGGUCAUGGGCGCACCAUUCGCUGAUGGCUGAUAGGCGGCCUCGCCUACAUCUGCUGUUGCACGCGUCGUCGGGGGAUGGAACGUCCCGGUCUUCCGGAGCAUGGUUCCAGGCUCCUCUCUUGCUGCCGCCACUCCUACGGUCCUACCUUUGUUGCGCCAUCCAUCCCCUCCUAGGCAGUGGAUGUGGAGAGCGCCGCUCAUGAUUUUCAAGUGGUUACGUUCCUCGGAUUCUGAUGCUCCCGCUAGCAAGGUUGCCCUUGCUUCUGUUGGUCAAUCUUGCAACUAGUGGAAGGAGGACCACGGUUCUCCAUGCUGUGGUGUAGAUUAGGAGCUAGGUGCUUGAUGUCACUGAAGAGAGAAGUGGAGGAGCUUAUGUUCACUUUGGUGGCCAGUUGCUCAUAAUUUAUUUGAUACGGCAGCUUAGUAGGAUUUAUAGUCUAUGUAACAGUGAAAAUUGUCUUUGGCAAGUUUACUAAGUAGUUUAGAAGACUCACUUUGUAUUGUAUUGUAUUUUAAUAAUUUAUUGUUGUUGUGACCAAUCAAUAUAAAUUUGCAAUGAUAUA